GACGAACGCUGGCGGCGUGCCUAAUACAUGCAAGUAGAACGCUGAAGGAGGAGCUUGCUUCUCUGGAUGAGUUGCGAACGGGUGAGUAACGCGUCGGUAACCUGCCUGGUAGCGGGGGAUAACUAUUGGAAACGAUAGCUAAUACCGCAUAAUAGUAGAUGUUGCUUGACAUUUGCUUAAAAGGUGCAAUUGCUUCACUACCAGAUGGACCUGCGUUGUCUUAGCUAGUUGGUGGGGUAACGGCUCACCAAGGCGACGAUACAUAGCCGACCUGAGAGGGUGAUCGGCCAGACUGGGACUGAGACACGGCCCAGACUCCUACGGGAGGCAGCAGUAGGGAAUCUUCAGCAAUGGACGGAAGUCUGACCGAGCAACGCCGCGUGAGUGAAGAAGGUUUUCGGAUCGUAAAGCUCUGUUGUAAGAGAAGAACGAGUGUGAGAGUGGAAAGUUCACACUGUGACGGUAUCUUACCAGAAAGGGACGGCUAACUACGUG
rnacentral:rRNA from 1 species